GGCCGGUUAGCUCAGUCGGUUAGAGCGUAGUGCUGAUAACACCAAGGUCGUGGGUUCAAUUCCCAUUCGGUCC
rnacentral:tRNA from 1 species